rnacentral:tmRNA from 1 species
GGGGGUGAUAAGGAUUCGACAUGGAUGAGCAGAUCAGAAUUGCACACCAAGGUCCGGAUACCUUGUAAAACUAUCCGGAAAAAAAUAAGCGCCGACGAAAGUUUGGCUUUAGCUGCUUAAAAGCAGUUAACGCUCGACUGCCUUUGCCCUGCGGGGUGGAUCGAGUGUCAGAAAGCAGGGAUAGCCUUAUUCUUUGCAGAGGAGAGUAAGGCGAAAAACUACUCUGCUAAUCUGCUUUCUAUCCUGCCUGUCGGAGAGAAAGUAGAUGAAAUUUAAAAGACAGGCUAAGUGUGUAGAUGUUCUGAUUUUUCCAUCUCUGGACGAGGGUUCGAUUCCCUCCACCUCCACCA